UACGGGGGGGGUAAGCGUUGUUCGGAAUUACUGGGCGUAAAGGGCUCGUAGGCGGCCAACUAAGUCAGACGUGAAAUCCCUCAGCUUAACUGGGGAACUGCGUCUGAUACUGGAUGGCUUGGAUUCGGGAGAGGGAUGCGGAAUUCCAGGUGUAGCGGUGAAAUGCGUAGAUAUCUGGAGGAACACCGGUGGCGAAGGCGGCAUCCUGGACCGAAAUUGACGCUGAGGCGCGAAAGCCAGGGGAGCAAACGGG
rnacentral:rRNA from 1 species